AACCAACGCUGGCGGCGUGCCUAAUACAUGCAAGUCGAACGGGGAAAGUAGCAAUAUGAGUACUAGUGGCGCACGGGUGAGUAACGCGUGGAUAAUCUGCCUUGAAGAGGGGGAUAACUAGUCGAAAGAUUAGCUAAUACCGCAUAAGACCACAAGAACUGAGGUUCAAGGGGUCAAAGGUUUUUCGCUUCAAGAUGAGUCCGCGUAAGAUUAGCUAGUUGGUGAGGUAAUGGCUCACCAAGGCAACGAUCUUUAACUGGUCUGAGAGGAUGAUCAGUCACACUGGAACUGAGACACGGUACAGACUCCUACGGGAGGCAGCAGUAGGGAAUAUUGCACAAUGGAGGAAUCUCUGAUGCAGCGACGCCGCGUGAGCGAUGAAGGCCUUCGGGUAGUAAAGCUCUGUCGCAGGGGAAUAACACAAUGACUGUACCCUGUAAGAAAGGAUCGGCUAACUUCGUG
rnacentral:rRNA from 1 species